AGCAGAGUCCGACUGCACUGGCCCUGCGCAGCCGGGGUUUGGUAACACCGCCCCCUCCGCCCCGGGCAUCUCACGCCGGCCUGUUCCUGGCCCUACAAAGGGAACCCAGAUCUCACCUCCGAGUCUGGGCCCGCCAAACGAACGGGGUCGAGCGUCAACUAGACGGACUGGGAUUGAAGUGAGCAGGCACAAGUGCUUGGUUCACCUCCCAUUGCAACGCGGCGGAGAACUUAGAGGCGCCAAGUAGCCGCACGGGGUGCGGUUCCUGUGUGGGCGUCGACACAAACUGGGUGAGGAGCGAGCGCCUACAAUUGAGUUAGGGUAUCAGAAGAAAGUAUGUAGGACGGGGACAGCAGAGAGUAGAGCGCACAGGUGCAUUCUACUUCCACCCAGUCCCGCCUUCCUUAGGGAGUUUUUGGUUGAGAAUGGUUUACCUCGAAGAUCGGAGAUUCUUAAAGUGUUCAUUUAUUCAUCAGCACACCAUUUAUUGAAUGCUGUCUGUGUGACAGGAAAAAUUCUAGAUGCUUCAGAUACAGCAUUGAACAAGAGAGAAACUCUUCUGUCAUGGUACUUACAUUGUCGUGGGCCAGAUAAUAAAUGAGGUAAGUAAGUUAAAUGUAACAUAUAUUCAGUAGUGAGAAAUAUUAAGAGAAAAAGUAAAGCAGAAGGACAGAUAGAAUUAGAUAAGGGAAUUAAGAGUUUUAGAUGAGGUAGCCAGGGAAGGUAGCCAGCAUCCUGAAAAGGUCAUAAUAAAGAUUUGAAGGAAGUAAAGGAGCUGUUUAUGCAUAUAAUUGAGGAAAGGUUAUUCCAGGCAUCGUGAACUACAGUUACAAAGUCCUGAGGUGGGAACAUACCUGUUACAGCAAAGAGGGUGGUGUGACUGAAAUAGAGCAAAUGAGAUGAAGACUAGUGAGAAAUGAGAGAAGGUUAAGUGGAGGAAAGCAGGGCAGAUCAGGUUGGAUCUUAUGGGCCAUAUUAUGAUUUUGGCUUUUAUUGUGAAUGAGAUGGGAAACUGUUGGAGAGUUUUGAUUAUAGGAGUGAUAUUAUCUGCUAUAUUAUGUGAUAUAAGUGAUAUAGUAAGUGAUAUAAGUGGAUCACUUUGGCUGCUCUGAUAAGAGAACUACAGGAGGAAGGAUGGGGUGGGGGGCAAGGGCAGAAGCAGAGAGACCAAUCAGGAAUACAAUACAAUAUUUACAAUAAUGUAGGGAAAAGAUGUCAGUGAUUUGGACUAGAGUAGUAAAAAUGGUGAGAAGUUGUAAUGUAGUAGAUAUAAUUUAAAGAUAGAGCUGAUACAAUUUGCUGAUGGAACUGAUGUGGAAUGUGACAAGACAGUAUUUUUUAAUCUGAGCAAUUAGAAGAAUGGAGUUAUCUUUAACUGAGAAAGGAAAGGAAGUGGGAAAAACUGACUUGGGGCAUAGGGAGAUAGAUUUCAGUUUGGAAUUCAGUAUAUGAAGCAUGAGAGCUGUCCACUAGAGAUAUUAAGUUGGCAGUAGGAUAUUACAAGUCUGAAGUUCAAAAGAAAGGUCUAAGAUCUAGGCCAAAGACAUAAAUUUGGGAAUUACCAGUAUAUAGAUGAUACCUAAAGCAAAUGGACUGAAUGAAAUCAGAGGGUAGGGUAGAUAGAAAAAGGUAGAGGUAAAGGACUUAUCUCUGGGUCACUCCAACAAAGUCUGGGAAAUGAGGAGAACCAGCAAAAAGGACUGAAAGGAACUAGCUCCAAUGGUUGGAGGGAAGUAAGGUGGAGAGAUGGGAGGAUAUUUUUCCCUUUAGUUGUCAAAUGUUUUCAAAAUAGAACAAUCCUUCUUUGUACCACCAUACCAGUUUAAGAAAACAUGGAAGAUUAUCAGCUGUAUUUCAGUCAGGGUUACGAAAUGAUGGUGUUUGAGAUCUACAUCCCUUCUUCAUUUACUGGCUGGAAUAUUUUUUUAAAGGAAAAAUUUCUGCCAUCAAUUCUUUGGUUACCUUGAGGAAAGUUUUUAAAGGAAAAGUGGAAUAAAUUGAUUCUUUCCCUUUUUAGGUUUUCAGGCUAUUGAAUUGGUUCCUUAGUAUUUCCCAGUGAGUUAUUAUUUUACUGUUAUGUAUGCAUAGAUUUUAACAUAUAAUAUGGUAUGAUUCAAACCACUGUGGUUAUUUUCUUUGUGAAGCUCAAAUUUUCCCAUCUUUGGUUAUCUCUUUGAGAUGGCUUCUAAGUCUUUCCAGCACAUCUCCAGAAGUCUUUGAUAGUGUUCUACAUUUCUUGGUAUGAAAGGUUAUUCCAAGAUCAUUUUGAACACUUCCUGCCCUAGGCGUGGAAUCAAGCAUUUCUUUAUGAUGCCUGAUUCCUUUUACUGGGAAAUGAUAUUUUGAGACCAGUUAUAGGCUUGUUGUUACUGGCAUGAUCAUUGUUUCUAGACAUUUUUUUUUUCUUGGUGGACAGAGCUAGGAAAUAUAUUCUUUUCAUUUAAAAAAAAUUUUUUUUAAAGAUUUUAUUUAUUUAGGGGCGCCUGGGUGGCACAGCAGUUAAGCGUCUGCC
ensembl:lncRNA